rnacentral:rRNA from 1 species
UAGCUAGUUGGUAGGGUAAAGGCCUACCAAGGCGACGAUCGGUAGCUGGUCUGAGAGGAUGACCAGCCACACUGGAACUGAGACACGGUCCAGACUCCUACGGGAGGCAGCAGUGGGGAAUAUUGGACAAUGGGGGCAACCCUGAUCCAGCAAUGCCGCGUGUGUGAAGAAGGCCUGAGGGUUGUAAAGCACUUUCAGUGGGGAGGAGGAUUAUUUGGUUAAGAGCUGGAUAAUUGGACGUUACCCACAGAAGAAGCACCGGCUAACUCCGUGCCAGCAGCCGCGGUAAUACGGAGGGUGCGAGCGUUAAUCGGAAUUACUGGGCGUAAAGGGUGCGUAGGUGGUUAAUUAAGUUAUCUGUGAAAUCCCCGGGCUUAACCUGGGCAGGUCAGAUAAUACUGGUUAACUCGAGUAUGGGAGAGGGUAGUGGAAUUUCCGGUGUAGCGGUGAAAUGCGUAGAGAUCGGAAGGAACACCAGUGGCGAAGGCGGCUACCUGGCCCAAUACUGACACUGGGGCACGAAAGCGUGGGGAGCAAACAGGAUUAGAUACCCUGGUAGUCCACGCUGUAAACGAUGUCAACUAGCUGUUGGUUAUAUGAAUAUAAUUAGUGGCGA